UCGAACAGACCUAAAUCCUUCAGCCUCUACACCAAAGUUUUAUUUUAAUCCAACAUCGAGGUCGCAAUCUCUUUUUUCGAUUUGAACUCUCAAAAAAAAUUACGCUGUUAUCCCUAAGGUAAUUUUAUCUUAUAAUCCAAAAAUAAGGAUCAAAUUAUCAUAAAUAAAUGUUUAUAUAAAAAAAAAGUUUUCCAAAUUUUUCAAUCACCCCAACUAAAUCAAUUUCAAAAUAAAAAUUACUAAAUACUAAAAAUUCUUAUUAAUUAAUUAAUAAAACUCUAUAGGGUCUUCUCGUCUUUUAUUACAAUUUAAGCUUUUUUACUUAAAAAUAAAAUUCUAAUGAAUUUAAAUAGAGACAGUUAUUUUCUCAUUCAACCUUUCAUACCAGCUUUCAAUUAAAAAACUAAUGAUUAUGCUACCUUCGCACGGUCAAAGUACCGCAGCCAUUUAACUACUCAUAGGGCAGGUUAGACCUUAAAUUAUAAUCAAAAA
rnacentral:rRNA from 1 species